GAACGCUGGCGGCAGGCCUAACACAUGCAAGUCGAGCGGAAACGACAUCUUCGGAUGGGCGUCGAGCGGCGGACGGGUGAGUAAUGCGUAGAAAUCUGCCCUUUUGUGGAGGAUAACCUGGGGAAACUCAGGCUAAUACUGCAUAAUCUCUACGGAGCAAAGCGGGGGAUCUUCGGACCUCGCGCAGAAGGAUGAGUCUACGUCUGAUUAGCUAGUUGGUGGGGUAAUGGCCUACCAAGGCGACGAUCAGUAGCUGGUCUGAGAGGAUGAUCAGCCACACCGGGACUGAGACACGGCCCGGACUCCUACGGGAGGCAGCAGUGGGGAAUAUUGGACAAUGGGCGAAAGCCUGAUCCAGCCAUGCCGCGUGUGUGAAGAAGGCCUUAGGGUUGUAAAGCACUUUAAGCAGGAAAGAAAAGCGCCGGAUUAAUAAUCCGAGCGUGUUGACGGUACCUGCAGAAUAAGCACCGGCUAACUCCGUGCCAGCAGCCGCGGUAAUACGGAGGGUGCAAGCGUUAAUCGGAAUUACUGGGCGUAAAGCGUGCGUAGGCGGUCGCGUGUGUCGGAUGUGAAAGCCCCGGGCUCAACCUGGGAAUUGCAUUCGAAACUGCGUGACUAGAAUAUGGUAGAGGAAGAUGGAAUUCCACGUGUAGCGGUGAAAUGCGUAGAUAUGUGGAGGAACACCAAUGGCGAAGGCAAUCUUCUGGGCCAAUAUUGACGCUGAGGUACGAAAGCGUGGGUAGCAAACAGGAUUAGAUACCCUGGUAGUCCACGCCGUAAACGAUGAGAACUAGACGUUGGUUGACAUAGUCGAUCAGUGUCGCAGCAAACGCGUUAA
rnacentral:rRNA from 1 species